rnacentral:antisense_RNA from 1 species
UUGCAGGAAUUUAGCCAAUUCAGAGAUCUUGUUCUCCAUAAUUUGGAAUUUUCCUUCGGAUUUGAUCAAGUUGGAUAGAGUUGGUCAAACCCAAUGGGAAAAAGAUGAAAACAACAAGAAACAGAAACAAACAACAACAGCAACAACAACAAAAACAAUGCAUUUAAUUAAAUGAAGAUGAGCUCAUGCUGGAGUAGGGUGGACUCUGAACCCAGUAGGACAAGCGUCCUUGUUAAGAAGAGGGAAAUCUGGACACACACAGAGCAGAGACCGCCGUGUGAAGAUGGAGGCAGAGAUCGGAGAGAUGCUGCCACAUGCCACAAAUGCCUGGGGCUCCCAGAAACUACACGGAGCCUCCCCCAGCGGCUUCAGCAGGAGCAUGGCUCGGCCAACACUUUAAUCUUGGUCUUCCAGCCUCCAGAACGGUGAGUCGUUUUCCUAAAAUUCCCUUUUCCACUGGUGUGUGGUGCAAGAUGAGGCACAUUUUCCAUGGAUGGUGAACAGAGGGAGGAGCCUUUUGAUCACAACCCGGUCACCCCACUUCUAAGCCACUGUGCCUCCAGCCCCACAAGACUAAGGAGAGAGAGCGCAGAGUGGUGGAGAGUGAGCUGUGCUGGGACCGUUGUUUCCGUAACCUCGUUUUCUGUGUCCAGCUGACACACCUUCAAAGCGGCAUCAGGUCCUACACUGUAGCUUGCAAUGUGCCUGUUUCCAGAAACCAAGGUGAAAGUGCUUUUAGACAGUGUUCCCAUGCAAGAGUCCCUUCCCAGCUUUUUUCUGGAAAUGCAUGUUUCUCUGAACUCUGAGUCCCAAGAAAAAUCAUUUGAGACAUCAAGAAAAUGGGGGAAGUGCUAAAAUUGUGUGGGAAUUCAAGCUUAACAAUAAACAUCAAGACAUUUUUGGUAAAAAUGAAUCCACUGACAUCGGGGAGGAGCAAGAGAACAGCACGCUGACACUGGGUCAGAGGCUAAGACCGACAUUUCUGGGAACCACUCCCGGA